AAUUUGAUUGCUUACGCUUUCAAUUUAGCUUUCACACUGUAUGAUCCUCCUACUUUUGCCACCAGUUCUCUUUCAAACUCUUGGAAGUAUUCAAAUAUAAAUUUAACCCCAUAUUUCAAAUAAUGUAUAUAGUCACCAUCCAUUUCAGAACGAUCUAAUUUAUUCAAUGACUUCCAAUGCUUUUAUUGCUCAACAAACAACUAUUAAAACGGAAACAGAACUGACUCAUUCUAAACUAAUGAGAACAUGUCUCUUAUUCCUAUAAUGACGCAAAGACUCAAACAUACUUAUUACUCAAAGAUCAAGGUACAUAGAAGUGACAUGGCUCUUGAGUUUUCCACCAGGACGGAUAUCUUUCAUAGCCAUCAAAACACCUGCUAUAGUAAAAUCCACAGCAACUUCGACUCCAGCGACUUCUAGAUACUCCUCAAAACUAGGGACGUGAUCCGCUUCUACCCAUGUAGCGAGCUGAAGAUUGGCUCUAGCGUAUCUCUUGCACUGCAAUUCUCACAAUGUAAACAUUGUACUAUUAAGUUCUUCAAAAAAUAAUUUGAAAAUGGUUAUUCGUAAACACAUGCAUUAUACGAACAGAGAAAAUUAAUUUACUGUAUGAUUACCGCAUCAAUUGUAGCUUUUAAGCUGUAAGAUCCUCCUAAUUCUGAUGCCACUUCUCUUUCAAACUCUUGGAAGGUGUCGAAUAUAUGUUUAACCACAAAUUUCAAAUAAUCAGGUUGGCCAUCCAUGGCAUCAUCGAGAUCCCACCUAAAUGCAUUAUCAAUUUCUUUUCUUUUUAGAUGUGGACCAGAUUCAGAACUCAUUACAAAAAUAAUAAUUUAACAUCAUUUUUAUUUUUAAAAAUGCCAAUGUCCUUUUUGUAACGACAUUAAAACUGAAAUUUAAGGUUUCUUGUUAGAGCUAAAAAAUUUAGCAUCAAUUUUAAAACGACUCAGAAAUUGAAAUUUAACGUCACUUAUUUCAUAUUAUAGUGCCAUGGAGCUAUAACUAAUAUUUUUUGCAUCGUGUUUACUAAGUAUACUAGGAUCUAUUUGGCACAGUUUUAUUUUAUUUUGAUUGAAAACUUAAAAACUUGUAUGAAAACAUGUUGUAAGUGUUUAGAGUUCUAUCAAAUAUGGAGUUCACUUUAAAAUAAACUAGAAUAGAACUCACGCUAUGGGCGGCUAAAUUUCAUUUUAAACAUUUAUUUUGUUCUAUGGAUCGUAGGUCGUCACUGAGAUCUGAAAACCGAAUAUAAGUCCUUGUAUAUGAAGUGUCAACCAAAAGUCGAUACCAAUUAAGUUACAAAAAAAAAACUCGAUACCAAUUCUAACUCAAAAUUAGUCAUUAUGAACUACCGAUCUUAAUCUUAAUUUCCAUCAAGUUCAAAAUGGUUUGAUACCUUUUAUAAAUAUUUUAUAUAAUGAAAUUCAAAUGAUUUAGAUGAACCCAUGUUUGAUAGUUCAAACUAAUAUAUAAAUACAUAAAGUCCAAAAUAUGACUCUAAUUUAAUAGAUUACAUGUAUUUCAAUAUUUUUAUUAUUUUUAUUUCAAAUAUUUUAAAACAUUUAUUUCCAAAAAGCAACUAAUUUCAAUUUCAAUUAUCAUUAAAAUAUAAUUAAAAAUUUUUAUGUGAUUUUAAUUUUAGUUUUUAAUCAAAAAUAAAUUAAUUUUUAUUUAUAUUUAAAUGAUAAACUGAAAAUAUUUUUUUAAAUAUUUUGUUAGAAUUUUAUAAGGAAAGUUGUUUGUUUGUAUUUCAAAUAAAAUAUUAAGAUAUUAAAAGAUAUUGUAAUUAAAUUAUAUGUAACUUGAUAAAUUUUCUAAGGGAUGGUCCAAAUAAAAAAUUACACAUAAAAAUAUUAGGACUCUAAUUUAUAGAUUAGAUUUGUAUUAUGUAUUUUAUUAAUUAUUUAUGCAUCUUAGUUUUUGAUAUCGAGAUCAAAAUUAUUUAUGUUAGUUAUAAUUUAAAAGUAUUUAUGACAAAAUGGUUUUUAUGUGUUUAUGUUUUUAUUUUGCCAUAUUUUACAGUUUGUGAGAAUUUUUUUUUAAAACAAAUUGUAAGAUAAUGUAUAAGUUAUUCAAAUUUAUUAUGCAUUACACUUUGUAAUAUUUAAGGUUUAAAAUUUUUAAGAUAAUGUAUAAGUUAUUCAAAGUUAUUAUGCAUUACACUUUGUAAUAUUUAAGGUUUAAGUUUUUUUUUUGAUAUUUAAAAUUAUAUUUAUGAUAUGUCUUGUGGUUUAGAAAAUAUGAUUUUUUUUACAGAAUAUUAGUAUGAUAGAAAUUGAUAUAUUUGAUAAAUGUGAUACGCUAGUAAAUAUGAUUUUCUGAGUUAAGUGUAAUCUUUGAGAAAUCAUAUUUCUAGGAAUAUAACUAUUAAUAUAUUUUAAAAUAAAAGAAUAUAUUUGAUUUAAAAAUAUAAACUUGUGUUGUAUAUAUUUGUAAAUUUAUUAUAAAAAUCGAUUUUUGGAUAUAAAGAUUAGCCUCUUAAAAAAAAUUAAGAACUAUAGGGUAGUUAAAAUAUCGAUUUUUUUUUUGAACUUUAGUUAACUGUUGAGAUUGAAUAUUUUGAGAUAUUUGAAUUCCUUUUUUAGAUUUGUUUGAAUUGGAUAAAUAGAUAAUUAAAUUUUAUUUAACGAUAUUAUAAAAAAUUAGUUUCAAAACAUAUAAUACACUAAUGUAUCAAAUAAUUUUAAUGUAUAGUUCAAAAAGUAAUAACUUAAACAUAUUAAUAUUUCUUUUAUGGUACUGCUAAAUAUAUUAUUUUUAACACUUAAUUUCAUGUAUUAAUAUUAUAUAUAAUGGUACACUUAGAUAUGAUUUAAAUAUGAUAUAUUCUAGGGCCCCCUAUAUUCUAUGCAUGUAUUAGAUUGGUAACAUAUGGUGUUAUUUAUAUGAUCCAAGAAUUUACCUAAUUUUCUUUUACCAAAAUAUCAUUACUGAAUAAUUAAAAUUAAUAGUAAAAAUCAGUGUUUAUGAUAAACACAUCAACUAAUUUUUUUUAAAAAAUAUAUUAGUUAAUAAAAAAAUGAUUAUGUCCAAAAAUGAAAUAUAACAAAUUAGUGAAAAGUUAGAU